CUGCCUCAUCAGCCUCUUGUUCUCCAGGGGCAAAGCUGCUCUUUUCAGCAAGUUCAGCCCACAGAGAAGUGGCCAUUAACUGCAGCUCCUCAUUAUGGAAAGGAAGAACAUCAGAUAGGAAGGGGACACUGAGCUUUUCCUGGACUGAGCAACACCAAGAGCCUGCAGAUACGUGGGGCAGAUGAUCAGGCAAGCUCUGCUCCCUUCCCUGGAGGACUGGGGAGCACAAAUUGCCAGGAACAGCCCCAUUCUGGGGGAUCAUUCCAGCGCUCUCAAAUUCCCUUAUUCCUACAAAAGGCACCCUUCCACACACAGCCAGGUACUUUUCACAGCUACUUCAAAUGAAUGAGGAGCAGGUAGAAAGAUAAAAGCAGAGGAAUAAAUUGGACCCAUUUCUUGAAGGAAUCUGUCUGGAUUACUGAGGCCAGACAUCAAAGAAAGGGGGAAAAAAGCACCCUCUUGCCAAGCUUAUGUUUCCAUAUAUGUAUUUCCUCCCCAGUCCUUGUGUAGACUCUGCUUUUUGCAUCAGCCCUCUUGGCUGAUACCGCAACACUUCGCUGCUUUUCAUCUUCAAAAUGUGAACAAAUUCAU